rnacentral:rRNA from 1 species
ACUAAAUAGAUACCCGGGUAGUCCACGCCCUAAACGAUGCAUAUUUGGUGUGGGCAGUUCAUUCUGUCCGUGCCGGAGCUAAACGCGUUAAAUAUGCCGCCUGGGGAGUACAGUCGCAAGGCUGAAACUCAAAGGAAUUGACGGGGGCCCGCACAAGCGGUGGAGCAUGUGGUUCAAUUCGACGCAACGCGAAGAACCUUACCUGGGCUCGAACGGCUGGUCAACGGAGGUGGAAACAUCUCUACCCCGCAAGGGGGUCCAGUCGAGGUGCUGCAUGGCUGUCGUCAGCUCGUGUCGUGAGAUGUUGGGUUAAGUCCCGCAACGAGCGCAACCCUUGUCCUGUGUUGCCAUCAUUCAGUUGGGAACUCGCAGGAGACCGCCAGCGAUAAGCUGGAGGAAGGUGGGGAUGACGUCAAGUCCUCAUGGCCUUUAUGUCCAGGGCUACACACGUGCUACAAUGGGCGGUACAAAGCGCCGCGAACCCGCGAGGGGAGCCAAUCGCAAAAAACCGACUCUCAGUUCGGAUUGCAGG